rnacentral:lncRNA from 1 species
UUGGAAGUUAGUAAACUUUUAAGCCAAGAUAUCUUGUACUUAUAGUACUUCUUUAGAAGAGUACGUUGAAGAUGUUGUAGAUCGAUGUUAGCUCCGUUCAUUAUUACUAUUUUUUCUGACAUGCACGAUGUUGUUAGUGUUGUCAUUAAGUCAUAAUUAGAGAUUGGGUUACAACCGGAAUCUGGACAACAAAUAUUUGACUGUAUUGUAGAUCGGCGUUAGGCCUUUGAAAUGUUUCAAUUUAGUUUGACAUGCAGGAAUAUUUAAAUAUGCUAAGUAAGAAAACAUUUAUGUUGUUACUGGUCAUUGGAUGAUUAAAUGUGUUGUUAUUUCGUGUGCUAUGUUUAUUAAUAAGUUGUAUAGUUAGAAAACCAUAGGUCUAUUUUAUUGUCUCGUAAUAAUCUAAGUUUUGUAUAUUAACUUACCUGGCCGAUGAUAGCAGUGCCAUAUUGUGUUAAUUUGGUGUAGGUUGGUGUUGUUUGGUUGCCCAAACGUUCAUCGUGUCAAUGUUGCUGUCCUAUUAACUGACCUGGCCAAUGAUAGUAGUGCCAUAUUGUGUUAAUUUAAUGCAGGCUGCUGAAGAUAAGAAGAGAAAGUCUCAAGGCAGCAAGGCAACCCCGUUGUUUCUCUCCAAUAAAUCUAGUGCAGGCAAUAUGAAAAUUACUCUUGAUUAAUCUUUCUAGUUUCCCCCUAAUUAAAUUAUGAUGCAAUGAUCGAGACACUCUCCACUAUUGGUGAUACAAGCCUACCAAAAUCGCCAUUAGAAUCUGUUCAGUUUUCUUUGUCACGAAUCAAAUGAAAAAGAUGUACGUUUGUCAAGCAAUUAGUGGCUGAAGCAACAAUGAAAAUCAUGGAGGAAUCAGAGGUGCACAUUCUUGCACAACAACUACUAUUCGAUGAUUUCAGUGACGAUGUAGCAAAGAACAUUUUUUUUCUUAGAUGCUUCACCAUGCCGAUGCCAUCAUCACCACCAUGACUGCACCGUCGCCACCAGAUUGGUCGUGGAGGGACUAGUGUUCUUAUACGGGUUAGGAUGCCAAGGUAAUUCAAGGUGUGAGUAAAAGCCUCAAUCCCGAGUCUUUGCAAUUGAUAGGGGAGUAACAGGUAAACCCAUAUCUGGCUGCAUCCACGGGGAAACCCUUAAUUGACUGUAUGUGAUAACUGGCGUGGGGAAGCUACAAUUGGUGGUGGAUGUGGCAUGAAGUUUAUGUUAGAGUAUAACAUGUUAUGUAUUAGGAACCACCCACUUAUGCAUGCGAAGGAUGGAUAGAGGAUAGGAUAGAGAGCGUUUGCUCCACACAUGUUGCACAUGUCAUUUUUGUAGUGAUGACUUCGAAACACUCAAGAACACUUUACUACCCAAGCACCGUCCUACUAACUUAGUCUAAUUUAUUCCUGCUUUUACCUUCUUGUUCGUAGUGUAGUAAACACUUUUAAUCUAGUUUCUCUAGCAAUUUAUAGAGUAGACUAUUUCCAAACUCUGGUUUGGGUGCAUACGUGACUGCGUUAAGUCACACCGUAGUUGUGGGGUUUGUGGUUCCUUCCUUUCCGCUCCCUAUGGGUUCGACACUUACUUAUCAUGAAAGUUGUACAACAACCCUAUGCACUUGCAUGGCAUCAAGAAACAAUGGCACUGGAAACUAAACAUGGCACUGAAAGUGCAUAAAUCUGAGAAUAAAACAUUACCUGAAGAGACAUUUGAACUAUUCUACCUUAAAAAGACAAAGAAAGAUGGCUUGCUUGGUGACAACCAAAACAUGAUUUAGGCGGGGUUUGGGCAAACACAUUGACCUCGUCCCAUUUGGCAAUUCCGAGACCCAAAAUAAGGUAAGACCUUCAAUGCUCCUAAGAAUUUAAUGAAUAAUUUGGAUGUCCACAUCAAAGCAUGUGGAUAUCGACAAACGGCUUAGAUAAGAAUCUAGGCAUACAAAAACAU